UACAGAGGGCUCAAGCGUUGUUCGGAUUCAUUGGGCGUAAAGGGUGUGUAGGUGGCGCCGUAAGUCGGGUGUGAAAUUUCGGAGCUUAACUCCGAAACUGCAUUCGAUACUGCGGUGCUUGAGGACUGGAGAGGAGACUGGAAUUCAUGGUGUAGCAGUGAAAUGCGUAGAGAUCAUGAGGAAGACCAGUGGCGAAGGCGGGUCUCUGGACAGUUCCUGACACUGAGACACGAAGGCCAGGGGAGCAAACGGG
rnacentral:rRNA from 1 species